GUAGGAUCAACCUUAUCUGACUUGGGAAUCUUAUGCUCUUUGUUUUUCUUUUCGAUAGAAACUUUCCUGUCUCAUUUCCGUCGAACAUUUUUCCCGGACUAGACUAGUCAGAGCUCAAAAAGGCAAUUUGAGGUUGUGCAACAGCAAUUUUGGUAUGAAAGAUGUGGUUCACCCGGGGAUAUCUGGUGUUACACAGUGCACUACUUAGGGUCAACCAGUGGAAAACAGCUCACCGACUUGCCUCUACUAUUUAUGCUCUGUCAUCAGGGCAAGGUAAAUGUGGCAUUGCGGUACUUAGAGUGACAGGCAAGAGGGCUGCAGAUGUUUUUACAAGCAUGACAGUGCCAGCCUCACUCCCAUCGCCCCGCGUAGCUACGCUCAGGAGAAUUGUUCAUCCUGUUACUGGUGAAAUUUUCAAGGUUAUCUUAAAUCUUUCAGGAAGUUACUUUAUAAUUUUGUAAAUUACUACAUAAUAGUAUAAAUAUAUUGUUUUAUAAUAUUUUAAUACUGAAAAUUAAGUAAAAAUAGUACAAUGCUCUACAGUAUAUUGUAUAUAUUUCACUUAAAAAAUUUUUGUUAAGUGUGUUUAGCCUUCAUAAAGUGAAAAAGAAUCUUUCAUCCGUAUGCCAUGUGUGUCGGAAGAGGUGACUAAAAGGCUGGGAGCAAUAGGUUAGUAACCCCUUCUCUUGCAUAAAUUACUAAAAAUAAGAAAAACUUUAUACAGCUGGGAUAUUUGAAUAUUGCAACAAGCAGAAGGCAAAAGGCAGUGGAAACUAAAAGGUGCAGGGCUUUCAAAAGUAUUAUCCAGAGGGCUGAGAAGGGGUUGUUGUGGUGGUUUGGACAUUUAGAGAGGAUGAAAUGCAAUAGAAUGAGUUGG